AUGUUCUGGUGCGAUGCACAGUCGCGGAGGGACUAUCAGGACUACGGAGAUGUUGUCGUGUUUGAUAGCACGUAUAAGAUGAAUAGAUACGGUAUGCCGUUCGUCCCCUUUGUCGGAGUUAACAACCACCGUUGCACCAUAGUGUUUGGUUGUGCCAUCAUUGCUGACGAGACGGAAGGGACAUACGUGUGGCUACUGCAGACAUUUAUGAAGGCAAACUGUCAGGUGAAGCCAAAGUCAAUAAUCACAGACGGUGACGCUGCAAUGAUCCGGGCUUUUCGGACUGUCCUUUCAGAUGUUUUCCAUCAUCUUUGCUCCUGGCAUAUCGAGAAAAAUAUGCAGAGGCACCUGCAUUACAAGUCACUGGAUGAGUUCAGAUCGCUCCUGUACUAUGCCACCUCUCAAGCGAACUUUGAGCAGAGAUGGAAAGCUUUCUAUGAUAAGUGGAAUACGGAUAGAACUGAAGAGUGGCUUGACAGGAUGUAUAGGAAGAGGAGACUUUGGGCAGCUUCAUAUCUUUCCGAUGGUUUUUUCCUUGGUAUGCGAAGUAACCAGAGGAGUGAAAGCCUCAACUCCUGCCUUCACCUUCACCUGGACUACGGUAUGACAAUUGUUGAUUUGGUGGUGCAUUAUGAGAACUGUAUAGUUCGCCUGCGUGAGAACGAGGCGUACGAUGACUGCGAGGCAUUCCAGAAGGAACCACCGUCGGUUACUGAAUAUAAGGCCCUUGAGGAGCAUGCCGCCAAAGUAUUCACACCUGCUAAUUUCUACAUCCUCCAAGAUGAUUUGCAUAAGAUGGGUCAGCUGGAGAUAUUUGAGACGCUCGUGGGAAUUGGGCGUCAGACAUUCAUGGUGACAUGGAAGGAUAACCACAAGUUCAGGUAA
rnacentral:rRNA from 1 species